GAUGAACGCUGGCGGCGUGCCUAAUACAUGCAAGUCGAGCGAACGGACGAGAAGCUUGCUUCUCUGAUGUUAGCGGCGGACGGGUGAGUAACACGUGGAUAACCUACCUAUAAGACUGGGAUAACUUCGGGAAACCGGAGCUAAUACCGGAUAAUAUUUUGAACCGCAUGGUUCAAAAGUGAAAGACGGUCUUGCUGUCACUUAUAGAUGGAUCCGCGCUGCAUUAGCUAGUUGGUAAGGUAACGGCUUACCAAGGCAACGAUGCAUAGCCGACCUGAGAGGGUGAUCGGCCACACUGGAACUGAGACACGGUCCAGACUCCUACGGGAGGCAGCAGUAGGGAAUCUUCCGCGAUGGGCGAAAGCCUGACGGAGCAACGCCGCGUGAGUGAUGAAGGUCUUCGGAUCGUNAAACUCUGUUAUUAGGGAAGAACAUAUGUGUAAGUAACUGUGCACAUCUUGACGGUACCUAAUCAGAAAGCCACGGCUAACUACGUGCCAGCAGCCGCGGUAAUACGUAGGUGGCAAGCGUUAUCCGGAAUUAUUGGGCCGAAAGCGCGCGUAGGCGGUUUUUUAAGUCUGAUGUGAAAGCCCACGGGCUAACCGUGGAGGGUCAUUGGAAACUGGAAAACUUGAGUGCAGAAGAGGAAAGUGGAAUUCCAUGUGUAGCGGUGAAAUGCGCAGAGAUAUGGAGGAACACUAGUGGCGAAGGCGACUUUCUGGUCUGUAACUGACGCUGAUGUGCGAAAGCGUGGGGAUCAAACAGGAUUAGAUACCCUGGUAGUCCACGCCGUAAACGAUGAGUGCUAAGUGUUAGGGGGUUUCCGCCCCUUAGUGCUGCAGCUAACGCAUUAAGCACUCCGCCUGGGGAGUACGACCGCAAGGUUGAAACUCAAAGGAAUUGACGGGGACCCGCACAAGCGGUGGAGCAUGUGGUUUAAUUCGAAGCAACGCGAAGAACCUUACCAAAUCUUGACAUCCUUUGACAACUCUAGAGAUAGAGCCUUCCCCUUCGGGGGACAAAGUGACAGGUGGUGCAUGGUUGUCGUCAGCUCGUGUCGUGAGAUGUUGGGUUAAGUCCCGCAACGAGCGCAACCCUUAAGCUUAGUUGCCAUCAUUAAGUUGGGCACUCUAAGUUGACUGCCGGUGACAAACCGGAGGAAGGUGGGGAUGACGUCAAAUCAUCAUGCCCCUUAUGAUUUGGGCUACACACGUGCUACAAUGGACAAUACAAAGGGCAGCGAAACCGCGAGGUCAAGCAAAUCCCAUAAAGUUGUUCUCAGUUCGGAUUGUAGUCUGCAACUCGACUACAUGAAGCUGGAAUCGCUAGUAAUCGUAGAUCAGCAUGCUACGGUGAAUACGUUCCCGGGUCU
rnacentral:rRNA from 1 species